AACGAACGCUGGCGGCAUGCCUAACACAUGCAAGUCGAACGAGACCUUCGGGUCUAGUGGCGCACGGGUGCGUAACGCGUGGGAACCUGCCCUUAGGUUCGGAAUAACUCCCCGAAAGGGGUGCUAAUACCGGAUAAUGUCUUCGGACCAAAGAUUUAUCGCCUUUGGAUGGGCCCGCGUUGGAUUAGCUAGUUGGUAGGGUAAAAGCCUACCAAGGCGACGAUCCAUAGCUGGUCUGAGAGGAUGAUCAGCCACACUGGGACUGAGAAACGGCCCAGAAUCCUACGGGAGGCAGCAGUGGGGAAUAUUGGAAAAUGGGGGAAAGCAUGAUCCAGCAAGGCCGCGUGAGUGAUGAAGGCCUUAGGGUUGUAAAGCUCUUUUACCCGGGAUGAUAAUGACAGUACCGGGAGAAUAAGCUCCGGCUAACUCCGUG
rnacentral:rRNA from 1 species